UACGUAGGGGGCAAGCGUUGUCCGGAUUUAUUGGGCGUAAAGAGCGUGUAGGCGGUCUGGUAGGUCCGUUGUGAAAACUCGAGGCUCAACCUCGAGACGCCGAUGGAAACCAUCAGACUAGAGUCCGGAAGAGGAGAGUGGAAUUCCUGGUGUAGCGGUGAAAUGCGCAGAUAUCAGGAAGAACACCCGUGGCUAAGGCGGCUCUCUAGUACGGUACUGACGCUGAGACGCGAAAGCGUGGGGAGCGAAGCAGG
rnacentral:rRNA from 1 species